UUACGCCGGAUUUCGUUCACGAAGCCUGAUUGAACGUUUAUUUGUAGGCACUGCAGAUUCGGCGGAGCAAGUAAAAUUAGUACACGACCUCCUACAUUCCGGAGAUCGAAGGUUUAUUGAGCAACCGCUGAAACCGGCACCACCGCCGAUCGUGACGAUUCACAAGUCCAGCGGCUACAGCGGCUACAGUUCCACAACCAGUCAGAGUCAAUCUACCACGUCUUCCUACGGCAAACAAUCCACCU